CCUACGGGAGGCAGCAGUGGGGAAUAUUGCGCAAUGGGGGGAACCCUGAUGCAGCGACGCCGCGUGGGUGAAGGAGUAUUUCGGUAUGUAAAGCCCUAUCAGCAGGGAAGAACAAUGACGGUACCUGACUAAGAAGCACCGGCUAAAUACGUGCCAGCAGCCGCGGUAAUACGUAUGGUGCAAGCGUUAUCCGGAUUUACUGGGUGUAAAGGGAGCGCAGGCGGCGCGUUAAGCCUGGUGUGAAAGUCCGCGGCCCAACCGCGGGACUGCAUUGGGAACUGGCGCGCUGGAGUGCCGGAGGGGUAGGCGGAAUUCCUAGUGUAGCGGUGAAAUGCGUAGAUAUUAGGAGGAACACCAGUGGCGAAGGCGGCCUACUGGACGGUGACUGACGCUGAGGCUCGAAAGCGUGGGGAGCAAACAGGAUUAGAUACCCCAGUAGUC
rnacentral:rRNA from 1 species